rnacentral:rRNA from 1 species
GGUGAGCUACCCCGAGACAGCCUAUGUUAAUUUAGGGCUAACCCGUCUCUGUGGCAAAAGAGUGGGAAGAGCUCCGGGUAGAAGUGAAAGACCUACCGAACCUGGUGAUAGCUGGUUGACUGAGAAAUGGAUAGAAGUUCAGCCUCGCACACCCCAAACCAAAAAAUAUUAUUAUCAAGAUAUUUAGGGAUACGUACGAGAGUUAGUUAAAAGGGGUACAGCCCUUUUAACAAAGGAUACAACCUUUACAGGAGGAUAAAGAUCAUAAUGUAUAAGAUAUACUGUUCUAGUGGGCCUGAAAGCAGCCACCUAUACAGAAAGCGUUAAAGCUCGGACAGAAAGAAAUUUAUUAUUUAGAUAAAAAAUCUUAUUCCCCUAACUAUAUCAGACCAACCCAUGCCUACAUGGAAGAGAUUAUGCUAAAAUGAGUAAUAAGAAGACCCGCUCUUCUCCCAGCACAAGUGUAAGCCAGAUCGGACUAGCCACUGGAAUUUAACGAACCCAACCCAAGAGGGUAAUGUGAUCAACAAAAAACUCAAGAAGACCUCACAUUAAACAAUCGUUAACCCCACACUGGAGUGCUAUUUUAAAGGAAAGACUAAAAGAAGGGGAAGGAACUCGGCAAACACAAGCCUCGCCUGUUUACCAAAAACAUCGCCUCCUGCAACUGAACUGAGUAUAGGAGGUCCAGCCUGCCCAGUGACUACGGGUUCAACGGCCGCGGUAUCUUGACCGUGCAAAGGUAGCGCAAUCACUUGUCUCUUAAAUAGAGACCUGUAUGAAUGGCUAGACGAGGGCUUAACUGUCUCCCCCCUCCAGUCAGUGAAAUUGAUCUAUCCGUGCAGAAGCGGGUAUAAAUAUACAAGACGAGAAGACCCUUUGGAGCUUAAGGUACAAAUUCAACCACGUUAAACAACUCUAUAAGAAGCAAGAACUUAGUGAUACUGAAAUUUUACCUUCGGUUGGGGCGACCGCGGAGGAAAAACAAGCCUCCGAGUGGACUGGGCCAAACCCCUGAAGCUAAUAGAGACAUCUAUAGGACACAGAAUAUCUGACCAAAAAUGAUCCGGCUAAAAAGCCGAUCAACGAACCAAGUUACCCAAGGGAUAACAGCGCAAUCCCCUCCCAGAGCCCAUAUCUACGAGGGGGUUUACGACCUCGAUGUUGGAUCAGGACAUCCUAAUGGUGC